rnacentral:rRNA from 1 species
UACGGGGGGGGCAAGCGUUGUUCGGAAUUACUGGGCGUAAAGGGCUCGUAGGCGGCCAACUAAGUCGGACGUGAAAUCCCUCGGCUUAACCGAGGAACUGCCCUCCAAACUGCGUUGCUUGAGGCCGGGAGAGGUGAGUGGAAUUCCCAGUGUAGCGGUGAAAUGCGUAGAUAUCGAGAGGAACACCUGCGGCGAAGGCGGGUUGCUGGGCUGACACUGACGCUGAUGCGCGAAAGCCAGGGGAGCGAACGGG